CGCGUGUACUGGUCCGGCCGGGCCUUUCCCUCUGUGGAACCCCAUGCCCUUCACUGGGUGUGGCGGGGAAACAGGACUUUUACUUUGAAAAAAUUAGAGUGCUCCAGGCAGGCCUAUGCUCGAAUACAUUAGCAUGGAAUAAUAGAAUAGGACGUGUGGUUCUAUUUUGUUGGUUUCUAGGACCGCCGUAAUGAUUAAUAGGGACAGUCGGGGGCAUCAGUAUUCAAUUGUCAGAGGUGAAAUUCUUGGAUUUAUUGAAGACUAACUACUGCGAAAGCAUUUGCCAAGGAUGUUUUCAUUAAUCAAGAACGAAAGUUGGGGGAUCGAAGAUGAUCAGAUACCGUCGUAGUCUCAACCAUAAACUAUGCCGACCAAGGAUCCGGGGUUGUUAAUAUGGAUGACUCUCCGGGCACUUAUAGAGAAAUCAUAAGUAUUUGGGCUCCGGGGGGAGUAUGGUCGCAAGGCUGAAACUUAAAGGAAUUGACGGAAGGGCACCACCAGGAGUGGAGCCUGCGGCUUAAUUUGACUCAACACGGGGAAACUUACCAGGUCCAGACAUAGUAAGGAUUGACAGAUUGAGAGCUCUUUCUUGAUUCGGUGGUUGGUGGUGCAUGGCCGUUCUUAGUUGGUGGAGUAAUUUGUCUGGUUUAUUCCGAUAACGAGCGAGACUCUAGCCUGCUAAAUAGAACGAGGAUAAACCUUUUCAUAGGUCCUCGAUGCUUCUUAGAGGAAUUAGCGG
rnacentral:rRNA from 1 species